GAUGAACGCUAGCGGCAGGCCUAACACAUGCAAGUCGAGGGAGAAGCCUUUCGGGGCAGAAACCGGCGCACGGGUGCGUAACGCGUAUGCAACCUACCUUUCACAGGGGGAUAGCCCGAAGAAAUUUGGAUUAAUACCCCAUAAUAUUGUUUGAUGGCAUCAUUGGACAAUUAAAACUGCGGUGGUGAAAGAUGGGCAUGCGUCCUAUUAGCUAGUUGGAGUGGUAACGGCACCCCAAGGCUACGAUAGGUAGGGGUCCUGAGAGGGAGAUCCCCCACACUGGUACUGAGACAGGGACCAGACUCCUACGGGAGGCAGCAGUGAGGAAUAUUGGUCAAUGGUCGGAAGACUGAACCAGCCAUGCCGCGUGCAGGAAGAAUGCCUUAUGGGUUGUAAACUGCUUUUAUAUGGGAAGAAUAAGGUGUACGUGUACAUUGANGACGGUNCCA
rnacentral:rRNA from 1 species